GACUCUGCUCUUUCCUUGGAAUCACUUUGACACAAGUUCCUUAAGGAGCGGUGAUGUCUACACGUGCUAGUUUGCACACACAAUACACUGGACCCAUGAUCCGGGUUAGUCAUCCGUGGUGACUUCGGAGUUCCAGGGCAGGGGGGAGAGGAAAGAGUCUGAGAAACUUGGAAGUUCUUCCUGGCAUGACUGGAAGUGUAAGAUGUGACAUCCUGGCUCCAAUCCAGUGCAAAGGGGAAUUUGAAGAGCAGCGCACAUAUUUGUAAUUUUCCAGCCUCGGGCACACAUUUCCUCUCCUGACCAUUUGUGUUCCUUCAGAUUUUACAGAGAGAUCUGUCAGUUCUCUGGAAGAGAUGCCACUGCAGAGGACACUUGAGAGAACAGAGAGACCUUGAGACAGUCUUUGAACAGAAAAUGGCUUGUAGAUUCAGCAACAAACCAUCUUGACCUAUGGAAGCGGAUGAUUCUUGCAAGAGCUGGGGGAUAGUUGGUUAAAAUGAAUAAAAAGAUAAUUACCC
ensembl:lincRNA